rnacentral:tRNA from 1 species
AGAACCCCAUUCCUCCCUAAGACU